rnacentral:rRNA from 1 species
AUGGUUUCAGAUUCCAGACUACAAAUAAAUGGGAAGGCUGGGAGUAACGAAGUUUUGUUUUCCCAACAGAAGAAAAAAACAGUCUCAAGAUCUGUCCCCUCCAGUGACCUCGUCUCCACUGCCUGCCUGUCAGAAGUCAAGUGUUGGAUGUGUCAGCUCACUUACAAUUCAACUCCCUCCGCACUGUGUGUCGCUGGUGCCGAUCCAUUGGUUCUUUUCUUCCUCGAUUGCUGCGCGCAUCAUUCUUCCACUCUUGAUGGCUCCACUACUGUGCGGACUGCUGAGACACGUGUGUUUAAAUUUGAAUCUUGUUCUAUGUUGUUGUGUUUUGUUGUCCUGUGUUUGAGUGUUACUUUUGCUUUUGAUUGGUGCUGCCCGUAA